GAUGAAGAACGUAGCGAAAUGCGAUAAGUAGUGUGAAUUGCAGAAUUCAGUGAAUCAUCGAAUCUUUGAACGCACAUUGCGCCCCUUGGUAUUCCAUGGGGCAUGCCUGUUCGAGCGUCAUUUGUACCUUCAAGCUUUGCUUGGUGUUGGGUGUUUGUCUCGCCUUUGCGUGUAGACUCGCCUUAAAAUAAUUGGCAGCCGGCGUAUUGAUUUCGGAGCGCAGUACAUCUCGCGCUUUGCACUCAUAACGACAGCGUCCAAAAGUACAUUUUACACUCUUGACCUCGGACCAGGUAGGGAUACCCGCUGAACUUAAGCAUAUCAAUAAGCGGAGGA
rnacentral:misc_RNA from 1 species